UCCAUGCAAGUGAAGCAUCCUGAAGCUGAAGCCUCCUUUACCUUCCACCCUGGCUACUCUGGAGGAGUAACAUGAGGAGAAACAUGCCCACCGAAUCCACGACUCCUCCUCAGGCUCUCCCGCCGCUAUGCUUGGGCUGGCCCUGCAACCAUUGCUCAGAGAGGACUAGAGCCUAGAAUGUGUGUGUAUCUGACAGCUGUGGCCGAGGCACAUUCUAGAUGCCAGGAGACCUUGGAGACCAAGAUAGGGAAUUGUACCUUCAGGAAGCCAGUAAACAGAUUAACACAGAAGCAACAUGACUUGUGAAGGUUGGAAGAUGAAGCAGAACAAGAAGAAGGAAUGUGAUGGGGAAACUAACUGUUUCAGGUUACACUUGAACUGCCUACCAGCCAUCCACGUGGAGCUCCCUGGCUAGCAGUUGGGUAUGAGUGUGGAGCCUGGAAAGAGGAGAAAGGCUGGAGAAUGAAGUUGGGGUGCUGGGUAUCCAGAUCCAUCUAUAUUGCUGACCUAUUUCACAGGAAGAUUGUGAAAAAUUUCACGUAUCCACAAGAGAAAAUGGAUCAUGAUUUGCUGAACAGUAUCAAGGUGUUAAACAUCAAGCUCUGCAGAGGCAUUCCAGGGUAACAUUUGGCUUUGAAUGAGCAGUCAUUUUGGCCACCCACGAUGGUUUGGAAAAGCCUCACUGCUGAGUUAACAAAAUUCUUAAAUGCGAAUAUCAUUGGUUUUUCAUUUUCACCGAUAUCCAGAAAUGUUCAUUAAUGUUAAUAAAACAUGUGUGUUGUUUUA